GGGUCUGUAGCUUAAUUGGUAAAGCAUCUGCCUUGCAAGCAGAAAGAUGUCGGUUCAAACCCGACCAGUAUCCA
rnacentral:tRNA from 2 species